rnacentral:misc_RNA from 1 species
AAGCCCAAUGCCACUGCGGCCACCACAAGUGGGAGUGGACCCUUGAGUCCGACAAGCAGAGCCACAUCCUCUGCCACUGCGACACCUGCAAGGUUCUCUCCGGCGGACCCUACACGCUCAACCAGAUCGUGCCCAAGUCUGCUCUCAAGAUCACUUCUGGCGGCGAGCCUUCCAAGUACAGCUACAAGGGCGACUCCGGAAACUCCGUCAACUGCUACUACUGCCCCA